rnacentral:rRNA from 1 species
AACGCGAAGAACCUUACCUGGGCUCGAACGGCUUAAGAUCAUCUUUGGAAACAGAGACUUCUCGCAAGAGACUUGAGUCGAGGUGCUGCAUGGCUGUCGUCAGCUCGUGUCGUGAGAUGUUGGGUUAAGUCCCGCAACGAGCGCAACCCUUGUCCUGUGUUGCCACUCCGCAAGGAAGCACUCUCAGGAGACCGCCAGCGAUAAGUUGGAGGAAGGUGGGGAUGAUGUCAAGUCAUCAUGGCCUUUAUGUCCAGGGCUACACACGUGCUACAAUGGGCGGUACAAAGCGCUGCAAACCCGCGAGGGGGAGCCAAUCGCAAAAAACCGUUCUCAGUUCGGAUCGCAGGCUGCAACUCGCCUGCGUGAAGCUGGAAUCGCUAGUAAUGCCGUAUCAGAAUGAUGGCGUGAAUACGUUCCCGGGCCUUGUACACACCGCUCGCGA